rnacentral:rRNA from 1 species
UACGUAGGGUGCAAGCGUUGUCCGGAAUUAUUGGGCGUAAAGAGCUCGUAGGCGGUUUGUUGCGUCGGCUGUGAAAUCCCGAGGCUCAACCUCGGGUCUGCAGUCGAUACGAGCAAACUAGAGUGUUGCAGGGGAGACUGGAAUUCCUGGUGUAGCGGUGAAAUGACGCAGAUAUCAGGAGGAACACCCGGUGGCGAAGGCGGGUCUC